rnacentral:rRNA from 1 species
CCUACGGGAGGCUGCAGUGGGGAAUAUUGGACAAUGGGCGAAAGCCUGAUCCAGCCAUGCCGCGUGUGUGAAGAAGGCCUUCGGGUUGUAAAGCACUUUCAGUGGGGAAGAAAGCCUUGGGGCUAAUACCCUCGAGGAAGGACAUCACCCACAGAAGAAGCACCGGCUAACUCCGUGCCAGCAGCCGCGGUAAUACGGAGGGUGCGAGCGUUAAUCGGAAUUACUGGGCGUAAAGCGCGCGUAGGCGGUCUGAUAAGCCGGUUGUGAAAGCCCCGGGCUCAACCUGGGAACGGCAUCCGGAACUGUCAGGCUAGAGUGCAGGAGAGGAAGGUAGAAUUCCAGGUGUAGCGGUGAAAUGCGUAGAGAUCGGGAGGAAUACCAGUGGCGAAGGCGGCCUUCUGGACUGACACUGACGCUGAGGUGCGAAAGCGUGGGUAGCAAACAGGAUUAGAUACCCCUGUAGUC